rnacentral:lncRNA from 1 species
AUGGGUAACCUAAAGGAUGAGAAUGAGAGUCUCCAAGAUGCCCUGAAACGAUAUACAAUACAGUUGGAAUCAGCUACAAUCAAGCUUGAGGCUGUUGAGAAGGAGAGAGAGCCAAAGGAAAAAGAGAGAGAUUCACCUUCAAGGAAGCCCUGUGCUGCUGGGAAGCUGAUACCACAGCAGGCAGAAAAGUGGUACUCACCUAUAAGAAAGCAAAGUGCUGUUGAGAAAAUUCAAGAGGAGGCAAAAAGGGAGGAAAAUAAAACAUGCAACCUUAAAGAUGAGAAUGAGGUUCUCCGAGAGGCCCUGAGACGAUGUACAAUACUGUUGGACUCAGCUACAAACAAGCUUGAGGCUACUGAGAAGGCAAUAGAGCAAAAGGAAAAAGAGUGGGACUUGACUACAAGAACACUCAGUGCUGCUGAGAAGAUCCAACAGGAAGCAAGAAAGGAGGAAGAUGAAGUGGAUAACCUAAAGGAUGAGAAUGAGAUUCUCCGAGAUGCCCUAAGAUGUUGUACAAUACAAUUGGAGUCAGCUACUAACAAGCUUGAGGCUGCUGAGAAGGAGAUAGAGCGAAAGGAAAAAGAGGUGAGCAUAGCAAAGAAUUAAAUGCUGAGAAAUCAUUCAUCAAGUUGCCAAGUUUCACAGAAGAGAUCUCACUCCAUUAUGGAAAGAAAAUGAAUUAUGGUGUCUCUGGUCUCUGUAGAAUACGGGUGCACCACUAACAGAUUCCUCAGUGAUUUCUCUGUUGUCUUCCUGUGUCUGUGUUCUCUUACACCUCCUAUCUUUUUAGAAUUUCAUUCUCACAUUGGCAUUUCCCAGUCUUCUGGUUUCUCAAGUUCUUAGCAUGAAUUCUAGAAUUUUUAGUGAUUCCCUCAUGUCCCUUGAAUUCAUAUUCUGUCCCUUCUCCAGAAAAUAAAGAUUUCUCUGGACAGAAGACCA